GCUGGUGUGGCUCAAUGGUAGAGCAGCUGACUUGUAAUCAGCAGGUUGAUGGUUCGAUUCCGUUCACCAGCU
rnacentral:tRNA from 1 species